rnacentral:rRNA from 1 species
AUUGAACGCUGGCGGCAUGCUUUACACAUGCAAGUCGGACGGCAGCACAGAGAAGCUUGCUUCUUGGGUGGCGAGGGGCGAACGGGUGAGUAAUAUAUCGGAACGUACCGAGUAAGGGGGGAUAACUAAUCGAAAGAUUAGCUAAUACCGCAUAUUCUCUGAGGAGGAAAGCAGGGGACCUUCGGGCCUUGCGUGAUUCGAGCGGCCGAGAUCUGCUUAGCUAGUUGGUGGGGUAAAGGCCUGCCAAGGCGACGAGCAGUAGCGGGUGUGAGAGGAUGAUCCGCCACACUGGGACUGAGACACGGCCCAGACUCCUACGGGAGGCAGCAGUGGGGAAUUUUGGACAAUGGGCGCAAGCCUGAUCCAACCAUGCCGCGUGUCUGAAGAAGGCCUUCGGGUUGUAAAGGACUUUUGUCAGGGAAGAAAAGGCUGUUGCUAAUAUCGACAGCUGAUGACGGUACCUGAAGAAUAAGCACCGGCUAACUACGUG